rnacentral:rRNA from 1 species
CCUACGGGUGGCAGCAGUGGGGGAUAUUGCACAAUGGGGGGAACCCUGAUGCAGCGACGCCGCGUGGGUGAAGAAGCGCCUCGGCGCGUAAAGCCCUGUCAGCAGGGAAGAAAAUGACGGUACCUGCAGAAGAAGCCCCGGCUAACUACGUGCCAGCAGCCGCGGUAAUACGUAGGGGGCAAGCGUUAUCCGGAUUUACUGGGUGGAAAGGGGGCGCAGACGGCGAUGCAAGCCAGGAGUGAAAGCCCGGGGCCCAACCCCGGGACUGCUCUGGGAACUGGGUGGCUGGAGUGCAGGAGGGGCAGGCGGAAUUCCUGGUGUAGCGGUGAAAUGCGUAGAUAUCAGGAGGAACACCGGUGGCGAAGGCGGCCUGCUGGACUGCAACUGACGUUGAGGCCCGAAAGCGUGGGGAGCAAACAGGAUUAGAUACCCCUGUAGUC